rnacentral:lncRNA from 1 species
AAUAACUGUAUCCACCUUUUAAGUUGUGAUGAUGAGUUAGCAUACGCAAAGCCGAUUUGAAACAAUGAUACUCUGUUAUUACUCUUCAUUCUGUGGGUUGGCUAAGUUGAACUGGCAGUUUUCUAUCCCGUCUGGAUUAGCUGAAGUCACCCCUUUCAUUGCAUUCAGCCUGGAGCUUUGCUGGGGGACAAAUAUUUCCAAGACAUUCUCCCCUCUUCCAGGCUUGCUAAGAACAGGCUCCCUUGGCCAAAGCAAGUCACAUGCCCAAGCCUAGUGUCAAGGGUUAAGGAGCAUGUAUAUACAAGGACAUGAAUACCAGGAGGCUUGCUUGUUGGGGGUUACCAGUGCACCAGUCAGCCACGAGCAGUAUCUUCUGAAUAAAAAGAAUUUGGCUGCUUCCAGCUCGCAAAGAACAGGGGUGGGAGACAGAACUCCUUGCAUGGCUAAAGGCCAUGGAAACUUGAGAGAAUGGCUUCAGUGAACUAAUACUCUAGGAAUCUUGGACAUGUGAAGAAAUUCUACCCAUUGAUCUCAAUGAAAUGGCAGCUGAGAGUGAGACUGGGUCUUCUCAUUUAAGUUCCUCUUUCCUGGUAUAGUGCAUUGUGUUUUGUUGAUUAGAAAAUGAUUCACAAUACAGUAUUAGUAUACCUAGUAGACACUGAACAUGUUAAGUCAGAGAAUUCAGAGGGUUUCUGGAGGACUCAGGAGAAACAGACAAGAUGUGAGGAAGGAAAUGCAGACUGUAUACAUUCCUAGAACCACAAAAUAGUCCAAUAAAGUAGAGGAUACAGUUGUGACUGAACUGCCAGGACCCAUUCCCAUUGACAUAGCUACAGGGCCUCUCCUCAUGUGGAAGAAGUUGUACAGACAAAAGGCCAUACAUCAAUUAAACCAUCGCUAUGGAUGGAGCAGCAUACUAGCUCCACCAUGAGUUUGAGUUUAAGAGUUUGGGAUAACACUGAUCAUCCUGAGGAUAUUGCCCUUGGAGUUAAUUUUUUGAGAGAAAUAAAACAAGAAACAUCAUAAGACACAAACCCCAAGCAACUGGUGAGCAAAUGGAGCUUCUCUAUCACUCAUAUUCUCUUCUCGGACAGCUGUUUGCAUUCCACUCCCUUACACAUUGUUGUGUGUUCUGUUUUGUCAUAAUGUAUUCCUUUAACCAUUUUUUUGAGAGUACACUAUGUGUGAAACACUCAACUACACUCAAGGAAUAAAAAAAAAAAUGAAAUGGUAUGAUGUCCCACCAUCAACAAGCUUAUAAUCUUACAAAGAAAAGAGCCAAGUAAGCAAAGAAAUACAGUGAAGUGUAAUAAUU